CCGGUAGCGUGGCGGCCGCGGGGCGUACUCGGGGAGGAGUGUGUAGGGGAGUAGCGGCGGGGGAGGGAGGGAGAGGAAGUGCGGGCUGGUCCGAGGCGGGGUUGGGUCCGGGGAGGAUGCGAGCCGCCGGCUCCCGCCCGUCGCGGUGAAGAAAGGAGGGCGGGAGCGGGAGCCGGACCAUCCCGCCGGGACACCUCGCCGCCGUGCGGGGCGGUGCCCGGUACUACCUGCCUUCGGCAGAGAUGAGACAAAGAGCAGCCGAUCCAAACCGGCCCUAGCACCCCCUUUCAAAAUGUGUUUCCUCCCCCCCUCAUUCCCUCCGUUCCCCCGUAAGGGCUGUCUCGCAGCCCUCCCGCUCCCCGGCUGUCCCUGCCCCGGGGGUGUGGCUGUCCCCGUGCCCUCCUCUCCGCUCCCCACCGCGCCAAUCGGGCUCGCAGUGCGGCCAUUUGAAUGCCGCCCGCCUCUCCUGGCGGCGGGAACGCUGUGCGUUCCUCUGCUGCAGACGGGGCCCAUCCUCGCCCACCUCCCUCCCGCCCCCAUGGGGUGGGGGCUUUCACCUUGGGGUGCGUCUCCCCUUCUGGGCAUCCGCCAGCGUUUGGGGGCGCUGGUCCUGUGGGAUGGGCGCUGCGGCGGGGGCUGUCUGGGGACACAGCGAGAGGAGCCCCUUCCUCUUCCAGACGUUUCUAUUGCCUCGCUGUAAAAGACACGAAUAGAGACCUCACUCGUUGACAUCGGUGACUCAAUGGGUAACAGUUUCUCAGUGCAUUCCAUACCCUGUUGAAUACUGGAAUGUGUUUAAACAAUGUUACAUUUGCAACUCUGCUCCUUUCAGAACCAAGCAAUGGAAAUUAUUUGUACUGAUCUGACUGUACUGAUACAUAAUAAAAUUGUAGAAUGACCAAACCUA